CCUACGGGUGGCAGCAGUGGGGAAUAUUGCACAAUGGGCGAAAGCCUGAUGCAGCGACGCCGCGUGAGGGAUGAAGGGCUUCGGAUCGUAAACCUCUGUCAGCAGGGAAGAACGGUCACUGUGGUAAUCAGCAGUGAAUUGACGGUACUUACAAAGGAAGCACCGGCUAACUCCGUGCCAGCAGCCGCGGUAAUACGGAGGUUGCGAGCGUUGUUCGGAAUUACUGGGCUUAAAGGGGUCGUAGGCGGUAUGUCAAGUCAAGGGUGAAAGCCCCGGGCUCAACGUGGGAACUGCCUUUGAAACUGGCAGACUGGAGGGGGUGAGAGGUAAGUGGAAUGCCCGGUGUAGCAGUGAAAUGCGUAGAUAUCGGGAGGAACAUCAGUGGCGAAGGCGGCAAUCUGGCACAUCACUGACGCUGAGGCGCGAAAGCGUGGGUAGCGAACAGGAUUAGAUACCCUUGUAGUC
rnacentral:rRNA from 1 species